rnacentral:lncRNA from 1 species
GUCACUGCCAUCAUCCCUCAGACUUCCCACUGCUACUGCUGACUUCUGCCUGUUGGUGUCUGUAUCUUUCUGAGGGCCUCUUCCCAGAACAAGAUAGGCUGUUGCCUGUCAGACUGAAAUGCCAGGACAUUGACUGUCCCAAACCCCUGAGUCCUAGGAGUUGGCGGAGACAAGAGGGACCUCUGCUAACAAGUGAACUGCCAGAAACAGAAUCUACUAGCCAACCUGAAGUUGGCAGCAGACACAUGAGAGAAUCCAGCUGAGAUCAGAACACACAAACAGUCGUGCCCACCCUGAAAGGCUGAGCUACCAAAUCAGAGGUGAUUGUUUCUAAAGAGGUUAUGAUGGUGGUUGUUUUUAAGGCACGAAAUUCUGGGGAGCUCUGUUGCACAGCAAUACUCAUAUGCUGGUGUUGGGGUGCACGUUGCUGGGCAGCUUCCCAGUCAUAUUUCCUUAUUCUUUACCUUUGUUUCCUACAUGUUCCACAUAAAGUGUCUGCGCUCAAAUCUUUGGUUCAGGGCCUGCUUCUUGAGGAACUCAAACUCAGACCUUGUGAAGUGCUUCCUCUCUUGAACUCCUUCAUGCUGCCAUCAUUAUGAUGCUUGGAGGGAAUCACAAUGACUUGCCUGCAUGUGUGCCUCCCACCUGAACUGAGAGGCUCAUGAUGCAGUAUUGUGGCCUAGUUUACUCACUAGGCCAGGAACAUCUACAGCAAGUAUCCCACCAGUAUUUGUCUAACAGUAGUAUACCAGCAUCAUGUCACCUCUUGUCAGGCCUCAUCCCACACUCAGCCAAGUACCUACUACAGGAGGCCACCUACAUGUCCUUCACCCUUGAUGUCCUUCUGAAGACACAAGCUCCUCCACCUGGUGGGUACUCAGCUCCCUCUUGUCACAGCAGCUUACACUACCACGUAUCUGGUCAUCAGAGACAUCUUCCCAUUACCACUUCAACUUCAUUCAGUGAGGUCACACUCCAUAUGAGAAGUAAGUUCUACAGACAACAUGAAAGGCAAAAACUGUGUUCAAAUUUCCCUAGUGAAGCCCUUGGGAAGACAUCAUGGUGGAGGUCAACAAAGCAUCUCUUGAAAGUGCAGCUCUGCCAAGGGUGCUCCUGUGCUGAAACAAAUAGCAGCUGCUCCACAAACACAAAUUGAGGGAACAGUCCCAACAGCUGCAGUUUGGGCCUUUAAAAACUGCUUCAUCUCCUUUGACCUACAUCCCCCUAGUCUUCUGGGCAAACACAUCUUUGGCUGCCUAAAUCAGACAAAUUCAAAUCCAGCAUGGAAGCAGUCUCCUGUCCCCCACCACUCUCCAUCUGCUGACUGGUAAAAACCUGUCUGUGGACUUCCCAGGAAGAACUUUUUCAGUACAUACAGACAGCUCUCACAUGCCAUGAUGUCUUAAUCCUCCAUGGUUACAAGGGGCUAAAACCUCCUUUUAGGAAAUGACUGUUUCCUCCCUCAGGCUUUCUCAAAGGUAAGGAAUAGUUGUUCAGUUGCCUCCUCAGUUUUAAGUCUGAUGGGGUAGAUUUCCUGCUGGCUCCUUCUUCGCCCUGGUAAUUGCCUCAAGUUUCUCUGGGAAAUACAGCUUUCUUUUGGAAAUUCUUUCUCUAGUUUCUCAUCAAUUCUUACUCUACUUCUUUUAGAACUGAGCUGACAAACUGGUUAAAAAUAGAGGUAAAUAUUUUAGGCCUAUGGGCUAUUUGGUCUCUGUCACAGCUACUCAACUCUGCUGUCACAGAGCCAAACCGCCAUGGGCAUGUAAUGAAGUGGGCAUGGAUGUACUCCAAUAAAACUUUAUUUAUAAAAAUAGGCAGUGCAGGAUUUGACCCAUGGGCUAUAGUUUGCUGACUCCUAUCCUAGAAUAUUUGGCUAUUGGGUUUUUCAUUCCCUUCAGGUCAGAGAUGGGGUGAGGGGCACAGGACAAAGCAAUGAAUCCAGCUCAGCUUACAUUUGCCUCUGACCCAGAGCACAGAGGCUGUGCUUUUCUUACAAUGCCAUGGCCACAAAGGCCAGGGUAGCUUCAGGGACUGGCAGUUCAGUAGCUGUCCCUGGAUGAAGAUGAUAUCAGAAAGGAAGUCAUCCAGGUGCUCAGACCUUAGGGACCAUUUCUCCUACUCAAAUU